UACGAAGGGGGCUAGCGUUGCUCGGAAUCACUGGGCGUAAAGCGCACGUAGGCGGCUUGUUAAGUCAGGGGUGAAAUCCUGGAGCUCAACUCCAGAACUGCCCUUUGAUACUGGCAAGCUUGGAGUCCGGGAGAGGUGAGUGGAACUGCGAGUGUAGAGGUGAAAUUCGUAGAUAUUCGCAAGAACACCAGUGGCGAAGGCGGCUCACUGGCCCGGUACUGACGCUGAGGUGCGAAAGCGUGGGGAGCAAACAGG
rnacentral:rRNA from 1 species